rnacentral:lncRNA from 1 species
GUCUUGUCUUGAAAGUUGAAUAUUGCGGUAAUAGUAUGUGAUGUUUUUGACAGAAUUUUUAUAGUAGAUUCUUGUAGAAAAUUUUUAUUUCCUCCAUAUUUAUCACUUUGCGGCUGUAAGCACUCUCCGAUAAUAUCAGAGAAAACUUUGUAGGCACUCUCUAAUACUUUAUAUAGGAAUGAAAAGAUGCCUAUUAGUAACUACUCUUUAUCCAAGAGACACAAAGAGUAACUAUCUUUUAUCCGGG